UACGUAGGCAGCGAGCGUUGUUCGGAUUUACUGGGCGUAAAGGGUGUGUAGGCGGUCUUCUAAGUCUGGUGUGAAAUCUCCCGGCUCAACUGGGAGGGUGCGCCGGAAACUGGGAGGCUAGAGUGUGGGAUGGGAGAGUGGAAUUCCUGGUGUAGCGGUGAAAUGCGCAGAUAUCAGGAGGAACACCGGUGGCGAAGGCGACACGCUGGGCCGUACCUGACGCUAAAGCGCGACGGCAUGGGGAGCAAACGGG
rnacentral:rRNA from 1 species